UCUCUCUCUCUCUCUCUGUUUUGGAUCUAUCAAGGUGCUGUUCUACGAAAAUGUCGCAUGGAGAUCGAUUGGCGACAAGAUCGAGUCCCGGUUUUGUGGCGUGGCUACUGAGUUCGAUGACGAAGUGCCUUAGCUCCUUCUCUCAAAUCUCUCUUAUAGUGGAUUUGAUUUCGUCGUCGCUCCUCUGGCAUGUCUUCUUCCAGCAUCUAAGGGAACAUCAUAUGCUAUUUAUGCUAGACGUGUUCGGGCCUUAAUAAUAUGCAGUUGUGGCUCAGGAUACCUCUAGUGAAAGUUGAUGAUGAUUCUACAAAUGUGAAGUCUGAUCACUUGGUGAGUUGAUUCUUGGGAUUUGUGGAACACAUUUCGUCUGGCUUUGCGAGCACCACUAUCAGUUAUCAAUUGUACUUGACAUUUUGAGUACGUUGCCUUCACCAAAUGCGCGCUUGGACGAUGGAUUGAGGAGUCUGUCAAAGCGGCCAUAUUUAGUACCCCCAUGUAAUUAUAUUGGUCAUUUUCUCAAGAUCAAACAGAUAUCUGAAGUUGAUUACUGGAUUUUGAUAAGGCACUUCUUGGACUGUCGUCGAAGCGGCACAUGAAGUUGAUUACCGGAUUUUUCAACCAUCAUUCCAUUCAGGUAGUUUUAUCUGGGAAACCAUUUCCCAACGUUUCAAGGGGAUGUUGUGCAGAUUCGCUUACUGACUGGCCUGUAAAGAGCAGAAAAGAAUCUUUAAGAGUAGAUUUCUCAUGAAUAUAAUUUCAUAUUGAAUCUUUAGGAG